GACGAACGCUGGCGGCGUGCUUAACACAUGCAAGUCGAGCGAUGAAGUUCCUUCGGGGACGGAUUAGCGGCGGACGGGUGAGUAACACGUGGGUAACCUGCCCGGUGGUUUGGGAUAACAUCUCGAAAGGGGUGCUAAUACCAGAUAAGCCCACGACGUCUUCGGACGACGCGGGAAAAGGGGCUUUUAGCUCCUGUCACCGGAUGAGUCCGCGGCCCAUUAGCUAGUUGGUGGGGUAAUGGCCCACCAAGGCGACGAUGGGUAGCUGGUCUGAGAGGAUGAUUAGCCACACUGGAACUGAGACACGGUCCAGACUCCUACGGGAGGCUG
rnacentral:rRNA from 1 species